CAAUCCCUGAGUAAAGUGGCGACCGGGUGAGUAACACGUGACUAACCUACCUUCGAGUGGGGGAUAACUCCGGGAAACCGGGGCUAAUACCGCAUAACAUCUUCGGAUCGGAAGAACUGAUGAUCAAAGGAGCAAUUCGCUUGAAGAGGGAGUCGCGGCUGAUUAGCUUGUUGGCGGGGUAAUGGCCCACCAAGGCGAUGAUCGGUAUCCGGCCUGAGAGGGCGCACGGACACACUGGAACUGAAACACGGUCCAGACUCCUACGGGAGGCAGCAGUGGGGAAUUUUGCGCAAUGGGGGAAACCCUGACGCAGCAACGCCGCGUGGAGGAUGAAGUCCCUUGGGACGUAAACUCCUUUCGACCGGGACGAUUAUGACGGUACCGGUGGAAGAAGCCCCGGCUAACUUCGUGCCAGCAGCCGCGGUAAUACGAGGGGGGCAA
rnacentral:rRNA from 1 species